UGGUACCGGUUUUGCUUCACUGUGGAUUAUGUAAGUCUCUUAUCAGCUUCAGCCAACAUCUUUACAAGGGCAGGGCAGUGGUGUGUAUCGCUGAUGUAACAGUGCAUUUGGGAAGAAAAAAAAAAAGCACAUAAACACAUAUCAGGCCUCCAUCCUGUUCAGCCAGGUGCCAGUGUUCAAGAAGGCACAAAAGGAGAUUCACUUCACCUCCCAUGUUUGACGCCUCACCCCUUCGCUAUCGGCUCAAGAGGAAGCAGAAGGUCAGCGUGUUCUAGGUGACGGGAAGCAAGUCGGGGCUCAACACCGGUGGUCUCAGUCGAACAGGUCAUGCUGAACCUUGGAGAAAGAGAGCGUUUACGAAUUACAUAUAUCUGUGAUGUGAGGAUGUUUAAUAUGCCCACACCUACAGUGUAUGCAAAUGAACGCCACGGCUCACAGCACAGCCGCUUGUGAUGUUUGUGGGAGAAAUACAGAAUAGAGCUCGUGCUGACUGCAUGUUUUAGGAAAACACAGAGUUUCUACAAAUGAUGACUCAAAUUCAUUUACACAUCUUUUUUUUUUUUUUUUUUCCUUUUCAGUAAGGUUGGUUUUGUUGAUUUCAGUAUGUAUCACAUUGUCAUGGCUGUGUUUACAGCAGGCAAAGUGAAGCAUUUCAUUCCUCAAGAGCUGCUUCUUCUGCAUCAUUUUAUUUUAACAUAUUAAAAUAAAAUGAAGAACUUAAAACAUGUCAAUUAUAAACAAAUAAUGAGUAUACUGUAUAAGUUUUAGGGGCCAAUAAAUGUAUAAGUGAAAUGUAGUAUAAAGCAGUUUAUAAAAUGUAAUAUAAAAAAA